rnacentral:misc_RNA from 1 species
GAUGAAGAACGUAGCGAAACGCGAUAGUUAAUGUGAAUUGCAGAAUUCAGUGAAUCAUCGAGUCUUUGAACGCACAUUGCGCCCAUUGGUAUUCCGUUGGGCAUGUCUGUUUGAGCGUCAUUACAACAGUUGAGCGUAAGCUGGUUAUGAGUUCUGUUUUUUUAAACAAAAAACAGGCUUUAAAAUGUAUGUUCUGCAGGUCGCUUUGCUAAACCCUAAACAUUAAAUACUGUUCUAGUGAAGCAUUUGCGACUCUGCCUGAAAAAAAACUUUUGUUAAAGUUUGACCUCAGAUCAGACAAGGAUACCCGCUGAACUUAAGCAUAUCAAUAAGCGGAGGA